rnacentral:misc_RNA from 1 species
GAUGAAGAACGCAGCGAAAUGCGAUACUUGGUGUGAAUUGCAGAAUCCCGUGAACCAUCGAGUCUUUGAACGCAAGUUGCGCCCGAAGCCAUUAGGCCGAGGGCACGCCUGCCUGGGCGUCACACGUCGUUGCCCCCCCAUCUACUCCUUCGGGAUUGCGGGGGGCGGAUGAUGGCCUCCCGUGCGCCUCGUCGCGCGGUUGGCAUAAAUGCCAAGUCCUCGGCGACACACGACACGACAAUCGGUGGUUGCGAAACCUCGGUUGCCCGUCGUGUGCGGUCGUCGCGCAUCGAGGGCUCGAAAAAAUUGCCGGGCUCCGGCUCGGCUUUCAACGCGACCCCAGGUCAGGCGGGGUUACCCGCUGAAUUUAAGCAUAUCAAUAAGCGGAGGA